rnacentral:tRNA from 1 species
GGGGGUAUAACUCAGUGGUAGAGCACAUGCUUAGCAUGCACGAAGUCCUGGGUUCAAUCCCCAGUUACUUCCA